UACGUAGGGCGCAAGCGUUGUCCGGAAUCAUUGGGCGUAAAGAGCUCGUAGGCGGCCUGUUGCGUCCGCUGUGAAAUCCCGGGGCUUAACCCCGGGCGUGCAGUGGAUACGGGCUGGCUGGAGGCAGGCAGGGGAGAACGGAAUUCCCGGUGUAGCGGUGAAAUGCGCAGAUAUCGGGAGGAACACCGGUGGCGAAGGCGGUUCUCUGGGCCUGUACUGACACUGAGGAGCGAAAGCGUGGGGAGCGAACAGG
rnacentral:rRNA from 1 species